rnacentral:rRNA from 1 species
AUCCUGGCUCAGAUUGAACGCUGGCGGCAUGCCUUACACAUGCAAGUCGAACGGCAGCACGGGGCAACCUGGUGGCGAGUGGCGAACGGGUGAGUAAUGCAUCGGAACGUGCCAUUGAGUGGGGGAUAACGUAGCGAAAGUUGCGCUAAUACCGCAUAUUCUGUGAGCAGGAAAGCAGGGGACCGCAAGGCCUUGCGCUCUUUGAGCGGCCGAUGUCAGAUUAGCUAGUUGGUGAGGUAACGGCUUACCAAGGCGACGAUCUGUAGCGGGUCUGAGAGGAUGAUCCGCCACACUGGAACUGAGACACGGUCCAGACUCCUACGGGAAGCAGCAGUGGGGAAUUUUGGACAAUGGGCGCAAGCCUGAUCCAGCCAUGCCGCGUGAGUGAAGAAGGCCUUCGGGUUGUAAAGCUCUUUCGGCCGGGAAGAAAUCGCAUGGGUUAAUACCCUGUGUGGAUGACGGUACCGGAAUAAGAAGCACCGGCUAACUACGUG